UACGAAGGGGGCUAGCGUUGCUCGGAAUCACUGGGCGUAAAGGGUGCGUAGGCGGGUCUUUAAGUCAGGGGUGAAAUCCUGGAGCUCAACUCCAGAACUGCCUUUGAUACUGAGGAUCUUGAGUUCGGGAGAGGUGAGUGGAACUGCGAGUGUAGAGGUGAAAUUCGUAGAUAUUCGCAAGAACACCAGUGGCGAAGGCGGCUCACUGGCCCGAUACUGACGCUGAGGCACGAAAGCGUGGGGGAGCAAAGCAGG
rnacentral:rRNA from 1 species